rnacentral:misc_RNA from 1 species
UCUCCGUAGGUGAACCUGCGGAGGGAUCAUUACAGAGUUCAUGCCCUACCGGGUAGAUCUCCCACCCACUGUUAUCGUUACUGUGUUGCUUUGGCGGGCCGCCGGGCCCCGCUCGGCCGCCGGCUCCGGCUGGCGCGCGCCCGCCAGAGGCCCAGCAAACUCUGAAUGUUAGUGUCGUCUGAGUACUAUAUAAUAGUUAAAACUUUCAACAACGGAUCUCUUGGUUCUG